GAUGAAGAACGUAGCGAAAUGCGAUACGUAAUGUGAAUUGCAGAAUUCAGUGAAUCAUCGAGUCUUUGAACGCACAUUGUGCCCCCUGGUAUUCCGGGGGACAUGCCUGUCCGAGCGUCAUUGCUGCCCUCAAGCACGGCUUGUGUGUUGGGCCUCCGUCCUCCUCCCGGGGGACGGGCCCGAAAGGCAGCGGCGGCACCGCGUCCGGUCCUCGAGCGUAUGGGGCUUCGUCACCCGCUCUUGUAGGCCCGGCCGGCGCUUGCCGACACAUCAAUCUUUUUUCCAGGUUGACCUCGGAUCAGGUAGGGAUACCCGCUGAACUUAAGCAUAUCAAUAAGCGGAGGA
rnacentral:misc_RNA from 1 species